rnacentral:rRNA from 1 species
AGAACAACCCAUCCGCCUGAGAACUACUAGCAAAAGCUAAAAACUCAAAAGACUUGACGGUGCUUUACCCUGCCUAGAGGAGCCUGUCCUUUAAUCGAUACUCCACGAUUCACCCGACCACCGCUAGCAACUUCAGCCUAUAUACCGCCGUCGAAAGUAUAUCCCCCAAGAGACACAUAAUUUUCCCAAUAGUUCUCCCACUAAAACGUCAGGCCAAGGCAUAGCUAAUGCAGUGGCAGAGAUGGGCUACAUUUUCUGAUCACAGAACAUACGAAAGAUAGCAUGAAACCCGCUAUCCAAAGGCGGAUUUAGCAGUAAGGUGAAAA